rnacentral:rRNA from 1 species
UUCCGGUUGAUUCUAGCCGAACCGACUUGCUAUUUGGGUGGAGGAUAAAGCAUGCGAGUUGUAUGGGAUUACCUAAAUUUCCCAUGGCAAACUGCUUAGUAACACAUGAUCAACUUACCCUAUGGAGAAAUAUAACCUCGGGAAACUGAGGAUAAUGUUUCAUAGUUGAAUAGGCUUGGAAAAGUUUUUCAAUGAAAGGGAUGAGAAAAAUGGUUCUUAUCUGCCAUAGGAUAGGAUCGUGCUCGAUUAUGGUUGUUGGUGAGGUAACGGCUCACCAAGCCGAUAAUCGAUAGGGGCCGUGAGAGCGGGAGCCCCAAGAUGGGUACUGAGACAGCGACCCAGGCCUUACGAGGCGCAGCAGGUACGAAACCUCCGCAAUACACGAAAGUGUGACGGGGUUACCCAAAGUGUUCUUAUUGAACUGUGGCAGGUGAGUAAUGUCCCCUGCUAGAAAGGAGAGGGCAAGGCUGGUGCCAGCCGCCGCGGUAAAACCAGCUCUUCAAGUGGUCGGGAUAAUUAUUGGGCUUAAAGUGUCCGUAGCCGGUUUAGUAAGUUCCUGGUAAAAUCGGGUAGCUUAACUAUCUGUAUGCUAGGAAUACUGCUAUACUAGAGGGCGGGAGAGGUCUGAGGUACUACAGGGGUAGGGGUGAAAUCUUAUAAUCCUUGUAGGACCACCAGUGGCGAAGGCGUCAGACUGGAACGCGCCUGACGGUGAGGGACGAAAGCCAGGGGAGCGAACCGGAUUAGAUACCCGGGUAGUCCUGGCCGUAAACGAUGCAUACUAGGUGAUGGUACGGCCAUGAGCCGUGUCAGUGCCGUAGGGAAACCGUUAAGUGUGCUGCCUGGGAAGUACGGUCGCAAGGCUAAAACUUAAAGGAAUUGGCGGGGGAGCACCACAAGGGGUGAAGCCUGCGGUUCAAUUGGAUUCAACGCCGGA